UGUGCAUGAUUAACUAAAACAGCCUGUUGACGGCUUAAAAUAAACCUGCCUUUUCCAUUUAGCAUUUUAUCAAAUGAAUAUAAUUUCAUUUGCUGAUGAAUUUAGUUCAGCUUCAAGAGAAUUUUUCUUUUCUUCAUGGGGAGGCUGAAGAAUCAGAACUGUCAUACCAAAGAAUGAAAAGCAAGCCUAGGGAGAACAAGACAGUCUGAUGUUUACAUGGGGUUAACUUAUUUGAUCAGUGAAAUCAGAAAAGGAUCAUUCUGCAUUCGUGGACUACUCUCAUUGACACACUCGCUUACCCAUCUGAAAACAGCGUGAGUUCUGUGUGGAAACCUCCCUGAAUCAUACAAUGAACACAGUCUGGGUUCCUGAUUUGUAUCUGUUACCCUUCAUGGAAAUGGCUGGUGAAGCAAAACUAUGUGUGUAAAACUGCAUCUGCCACAGGCUGCUUGUCCACAAAAGCAGCAAAGCAUCUCUAUGGAAUACCUCCGUAUGGAUCUGUAAAGAAGAGUCCCACUUCAGUCAAAGACAGUAGAUUAUGAGAUUAAAGAAGACUGAAGAGAUAUGAAAACUAAAUGCAAUUCAUGAUCUUGUACCAGAGGGAAGAAAAUUCUAUCAAGAACAAUAUUGUAUCAACUGACAAAAUCAUAAUAUGAAUGACAGAUCAGAUAAAUGUGUUGUGUCAAAGUUAAAUUUCCUGAAGUUGAAAACUACAUUAGAAUACAGUCUAAGAGAAUGUCCUAGUUUGGGGAAAUAUACAUACAACUAUUUAAAGGUAUGGGCAUGACACAACUCACUCACAAAUAGUUCUUUAGCUAUUCUUGCCACUUUAACUUUGAAACUACUUCCAAAUGAAAAAAUUAAAAAUUUUAAAAUAUGUAAGAACACCACAAGUAUAGUAACUUUAGUAAGUGGCAUCUGAAUUCUACUUCAUCAGAAUUUUCUGAAUGCAACUUGUCCUUAUUCCCUAACCCUAAAUAGCAAAUGACUUAGAGUGUUCAAUUUUUUUCUUUCCUUAAUAACAUUAUUCAAAUGUGUAUGGCUCCUGAUAAGCCAUCCCCUACCACUGUAUCCACCUUUCUUUGUUCUACCUAAGCAAUUCACAGUUAAGCUGGAAGAUAUUAGAAGACGCUCACUCUUUCUUUCUCAAGGGAUGCUGACUUGUCACAUGCUUAAACAAACUCUUUU
rnacentral:lncRNA from 1 species